rnacentral:miRNA from 14 species
CGGUCACUGUCACACCUUAAGGUG